GCGGCGGACGGGUGAGUAACACGUGGGCAACCUGCCUGUAAGACUGGGAUAACUCCGGGAAACCGGGGCUAAUACCGGAUAAUUCUUUCCCUCACAUGAGGGAAAGCUGAAAGAUGGUUUCGGCUAUCACUUACAGAUGGGCCCGCGGCGCAUUAGCUAGUUGGUGAGGUAACGGCUCACCAAGGCAACGAUGCGUAGCCGACCUGAGAGGGUGAUCGGCCACACUGGGACUGAGACACGGCCCAGACUCCUACGGGAGGCAGCAGUAGGGAAUCUUCCGCAAUGGACGAAAGUCUGACGGAGCAACGCCGCGUGAGUGAUGAAGGUUUUCGGAUCGUAAAACUCUGUUGUUAGGGAAGAACAAGUACCGGAGUAACUGCCGGUACCUUGACGGUACCUAACCAGAAAGCCACGGCUAACUACGUGCCAGCAGCCGCGGUAAUACGUAGGUGGCAAGCGUUGUCCGGAAUUAUUGGGCGUAAAGCGCGCGCAGGCGGUUCCUUAAGUCUGAUGUGAAAGCCCCCGGCUCAACCGGGGAGGGUCAUUGGAAACUGGGGAACUUGAGUGCAGAAGAGAAGAGUGGAAUUCCACGUGUAGCGGUGAAAUGCGUAGAGAUGUGGAGGAACACCAGUGGCGAAGGCGACUCU
rnacentral:rRNA from 1 species